AGUCAUGAAAGAGGGCCAUGGGCAAAUUCUGCGAAGGAGAAAGAUAGAGGCUCUGAAAGGGACUGGUCACAGUCUUCUGAUAGAAGGUAUCGAGAUGAUAGAGAUGUUGGUUAUGAUAGAGAGAGAUCCAAAGAAAAAGAUCCGGGACCUGACCAUGACUGGCCAGAUAGAAGGCCUCGUGAAGAUAGAGAUAUAGGGCGUGAAAGGGAUAAAGAUAGGGAUCGAGAGAGGGAUAGAGAACGAUCCCGAGAUUAUGAGCGUGGCCAUCAUGAACGUGAUCGUGAACGUGAAAGGGAUCGUGACCGUGAUAGGUACAAGGACGACAGGGACAAAUAUUCAGAUCAUCAUAGGUACAGAGACCGGGAACCAGAGCAUGAUGAGGAUUGGGAAAGGGGACGGUCAUCAAGGACUCAUAGCAAGUCCCGAUUAUCGCAAGAAGAAGAAAAUCGUUCUAGAUCAAGGGAUGCUGAUUAUGGGAAAAGGCGGAGGCUUACUUCUGAAUAGCUGAAUCAUUUAGCAUACAUGCUUUAAACUAUAUAGAGUAUGGCUUUCUAUGUGCAUUUGGGUUCUCUCUUCGAUGUUAUGGGCUCUUUGAUUCAUCAUUACCUUUUUGCCUAUGCUGUUUAUCGUUUGAACUUCACGUAUGUCUUCUACCUACAGGAGCAUGGUCAUUUUUGGUGCAAGAAAAGUAAGCUCAUACAAGCCUUUCCCUUUUACCAAUUUUUCAAAAUUAAAUUCUGGUAGAUUUGCAGCCUUUGUUUGAUACAUUAUUGACGUUCUAAGGUCUUUGAAUAUGGUCAUGCUAAUUGAUGAAGUUGUUUAAAACUUAUUCUAUUGAUGCUCUAAUGAGAUUUCUUCUUUAACAUAAAAUUGCAGCAAUGUUUGAUUUUUGGUUCUUAGAAUUAAUAUCAUUGUUGAUUUUAUCACCAUAGUUUUACAAUUUAUUGUUGUUUGGUAUUCUUUACAGACCUCAUUUUUACCACUAGUUUUAUGUUUCCUUUUCAUAAUUACAAAGGAUAGCAUCCAUUGAUUCCAUGCUUGAUUAAGAUACUGAAGACAUGGGCUCAUUAACAUUUACAUUAUCUAUAAUAAAAAAAAUUAAGCAGAGACAUGAUUAGGAAUUUGGAGACUUCUAUUAGAUAUUUCUAAUUAUAUUGUAAUUUUUCAUACAUUUGGAUUUUCACAUCUAAAUUUAAAAGCUACUCUGUGAUAUUUUGUUUUGAAAUAUUAUGUGAUAGAUAUGAUGAAAUAUGCCAUACUUUAUGAGGUUGGAAAUUAAAAGGUUAAUAUGGUUUUGUUCUGGAAAGUUUGUCAUUAUCCUUCUGUUUCUAAUUUUAUUGCUAAAGUCGUAAGUUCUAGAUUAGACUGAUUAAUUUCUCAAAUUCUUACAAGAUCUAGAGGGACAAUUGAUUUGGUUUGGCUGAGUUUGAUUGAAGAACUGUAGCUGAACAGCCAAAAAUACAAAGUACGAAGUAAAAUGGCUAAUUGUAGUUUUGUUCUGGAAAGUUCGUCAUUAUCCCUUUGUUUCUAAUUUUCUCUCUAAAGUUGUAAGUUCUAGAUUAGACUGAUUAGUUUCUAUAAUUCUAACCAGAUCUUAAGGGAUAAUCAAUUUGGUUUGGCUUAGUUUGAUUGAAGAACUGAAGCUGAACGGUAAAAAAUACAAAGUGCAAAGUAAAAGGCUUAUUGAAAUGCCCUUGUACUUAUCAACCGAUGGCUUAGUUGGUUUGAUUCGAGAUUUACCAGUUGGUUUGAUCUAUUUUGAUGUUGGGCUUAGGCUGCUAGGUUGGGUGUAAUACACGUAGAUAUAAACACUGGGCUUGGGCUGCGUAUUUGAGCUUUCAAAAAAUAUCAACUUGUCUAAAACAUUCACCUUUCCUGAACAAUUUGUCUUUGACACCGCUGAAACAAAAAAAAAUUGGCAAGGAAGAUGUUGCCCCAAGCUUAUCAAGUAAUGAUCCAACUGUUUUUGUAUUUUCCUUUCUAGGGAGGGAGACAUCCAUCCUAAUCAUUCCAAAAUACCAAGAUAGUCAUCUCCAUGCUUGUCUCGUAAACUUCUUUUAACAGUAACUAUUCAAGAACAUGAUGUGUAACAGUGUUAGAAUGAGUAAGAGUACGGUCGUAUCACCCUCUCCCUCUAGAGUCUAGUGAGUUUUUUUUCUACUCAGUGGGGAAUUAAGAUCCCUAGUAAAGCGUGGUUCUUUCUUUAGCAAACUUUAUGUGGACACUUGAACACUUUGGAUCAGCUCUCAGAAGGUGGUGGAAGAUCUAGAUCACAUUCUUUGGAGAUAUGAAUAUGCUCAUUCUGUUUGGAAUUUUUUUCUUCUAGACGUUUGGUUUGAUGCUUGCCCAUCAUAGGGGCACCAAAUAUGUGAUUGGGGAGUUUUUCCUCAAUUCGCCUUUAUGUGAGAAGGGUCAUUUAUUUAUGGUUGCACUGGCAGAGGUGUGUGCCAUAUACGAAAUCUUGGGCUCAAAUAUGGAAUAUUUGGGGGAAAGGAUCAAUUCUGUGUAGAUGGUUGGAUAUGGAGCCUAGUGAUAUUUGGUCUUUAUUAGGUUUUAUUUUUUUCUUUGGGCAAAGUUUUAUCUACAAACAAAAUUUUAUAUGAUUGGUUCCUUUUUUUUGUGGGCUUGGUUUUUGUAUGUCCUUGUGUUUCCAUUUUUCUCCAUGAAAGCGUUUUGUUUUAAUGAAAAGAAAAAAUCACCUGAAGCUACAUUGUUCAUGCUUCAUAGGAUUCCAUGCUCCCUUACCGUUUGAAUUUCCGUAUUCUCACUGCCGUAACCUUGGUUGUACUAUCGCCUAAAUAAAGAAUGAGUUGGUUAAUUCUUUUGUUUGAGCUUACAUGAUUAUUUUCAUUCUCUGAAGCCCCAUUCUUUCUCACUUUUAUCUGAUAGAGGGAUGAAGUUCUAUUUCAUCUAAACAAAACAUGUCAGAGUUAAUUCUAUUUUAGACAUUGGAUGUCAAAUUUGUCUCAUCUACUCAGUUGCCAAUAAGUAAUAACUAUCUACAUAGAUUUUGGUAGCUUUAUGUUGAUAUACUAAUUAUCAAUAGGUGAGCACGACAUUAACUUUGAUUCUGAUUCUGAUUGGAAAUACCUCUCGUUUUCUGUUGUUUUGUAGCCUAAAAGGACAGCAGAUUCCGUUCGUGGAACAAAAGUUGGCUUAGGGACGACAGCAGAGGCCUCUAAAUUCUCGUCUGCCUAGAGAGAACCCAUGCAUGACAAUACCUUCUCGCUCUAUAAAUUUGAUAAAGGAACUUCUUGGUUUAAACAGUUCUGACGUUUCUUUUGAAUGAUGUUUCUUCUUGACUUCUUGGCACUUGAUGACAUUGAUAUUCUUGGUUGUAAUGGCUUUAAAAUAUUGAUGGAGUCCUGGUCAUGUCUGAAUGUUAUCGGACAUGUAAUAGCUUACUAUGUUGUUAGAGUAUCUUAGUGUGGCAGAUGUUGUGUUGUGCGUUAUUUUGUUUUAUGGGUUGUUGUAUCAUAUAUUCACACCUUCCCUUUUUUUCUUUUGAUACCACACCUUAGUCAUUCUACUGUGAAGAUGUAGAGCUAACCCAUUCUUUUAGAGCUGUUUCUUUACCCUUUCAAAGGUUGUAUGUAUCUGUUACCAAUUCACUAGAUGUAGUUCUCUCUUGUAUGUACAUGUUCUCAGAUGACUAGAUGUAGUUUUUCAGAGGUUGUAUAUAACACUAUUCUUGUAUCAACCUGUUAUCGUUCCCCUAGAGAUGUGGUCAUUUAAAGCUGUUUUUUCUUUAGCUUGUCUCUUUUUGGGACACUUGUCUGGUUGAUUUGAUAGUUUUUAUUUCCUUUUGGGAGCAUUUCAAAUACAGCAUAAUAAAUUUUAAAUUCUAUCCAUUAGUCUAUUAGGGUCUGGUCUAUUGUUGGAAGAAUUUGAAAUUUUAUUUGUUUUUGAUAGUUUUGUUAUUUACAAUAAUUAAUUUAUUUUAUGGUUCCAUUCUUCAUGGAAUUAUGUGUUAGGUAUGCCUUUUGAAAAAUGUGUUUCUAGGUGAAACACUUCUCACGAAAGGAAGAAAUUGGUUGAUGAAUACUUUGGUUUGGUGUUUUCUGAGUCUGUUCUAAUAACUUUUUGUGGGAGAGGUAUGCAACCUAAAUCCUUUUGGUUGUCAGCGUGUAUCAACCAGAUACAUACGUAAAUUGAACUAUUUUAUUAAUAGUUUGACCCAGCUCAAACUUUUAUCCAACCGUAUUUACUUUCGCAAACACUUCUUUUUUUUUUUUUGUUCUUUGCAAUUUAUUCAUCUUCUUUUCUAGAUGUCUUCAUCGCUUCUUUCAGAUUUUCAUUUUUCUAUUUUGAAGCGAUUCAUUCUUUUCUUUAAUCUCUUAUCUCAUCUUCACCAUUUUCAAAUAAGAUUAUAUGAAACUACUUCAUCUUCCUCAUAUUCAAGAAUGUCAAGAUCGUUCGAAAUAAUGAUAUUGACGUGAUCUAAACGAUCAUUUACCAUGAUCAACACAGUCACUGAAAUUCUCAUAAUUUAAAACGAACUAUACGAUCAUGUUGGUAUGAUCUAAACGAUCGCUUACCUUAGUUAACACGAUCGUUUAGUAUGAUCAACACGAUCGUUUGAUUUGAAGUUUUUAGCAAUAACUUACAUUGAAUUAUACAAUCACUUACCAUAAUCAACACGAUAGUUUGUUAUGGUUAACACAAUUGUUUACAUGGUCAACACGAUCAUUUAAAUUUGAAGUCUUUUUUUCAAUUGUUAAAAAGAACUAUACAAUCAUGAAUUAUUAUCUAAAUGAUAGUAGAUCAUUCAUUUAGACUACAUUACACUAUCAUUUAGAAGAAAAUUACUCGUACGCGUGUGUGUGCGGUUAAUCGCUUGUUCAUCGAGGCAUUAUUUAUAUUUUCUAUUGUAGGUCUGUGACUUUUUUUGGUCUUCAGAAUUUUUCUAUACAAUGUAAAUAUUUUAUCGAUUUGUUAUAUUUUUUUAAAAAACCCCCUAUUUUAGACCAGGUAUAAUUUUUUUAUCACACAAAUAAUUAUAUACAUGAAAUAUCAUUUUUUUAAAAAUAUAAUUAAAAGUAUAUGUUGCCCAAUUUAUACAAAAUUAACUAGAUUUUAAUUUUGGUUUAAAAAGCUAUCCAUUUUUUUUUGUCAUUUUGAGCGGUACUUUAGUUCACAAUGAAUUGUUAAAAAUGUAUCGUAAUGGAUCCCUUCAUAUAUUCCAUUCGUAAAGCUCCCUUUUCUGGAGAUACAAAAUUGGUUCUAAUACAAAACAUAUAAACUGAUACUUGCAUGAUUAAAAUAUUGACCACCAAGAUGACACAUACCAAAAUAUUACAAACUUAUUUCUUAUUUUUCAUUUUUUUACAUCGUUUUUAUAGACUUUUAUCACAAAAAGAUCAUUAUUAUUUUUUUCUUUAUCAUAAUAUGCUGACUUCAAAUUGAAACAAACUAGUAUUUUAAUCUAAAUUAUUGAAAAAUUUAGCAAUCUAUAAAAAGGAAAAAAUAAUCAAAAUUUAAGGAAACAUUAAGUUUAAAUAAACAAUGGAAGAAAAUUUAGAAAGGUAAUCUAAUAAUAAUGAUAAUUUUAAAAAGGACUUUUUUAAAAAUAUAUAUAUAUAUAACAAACUCAUAAAAUAGAAAGAAAUGCUCUAGUCAGUUAUUUUUCAUUUUAUAUUCACAAUUAUUUUUAUUAAUAAGGUUUAGCAAAUUUUAUAUUCACAAUUAUUUUUAUUAAUAAGGUUUAGCAAAUUUUAUAUUCACAAUUAUUUUUAUUAAUAAAAUUUAGCAAAUUUUAUGGACUAAAUUAUCGUUUAUUUAAAAUAAAAGAUAUAUAGGAAAAUUGGUAUGCUAUAUUAAUUAUUUAAUAUUUUUCUUUUUAUUGAAUUUAUUUGAUUACAUUUAUGAGUGAUCUAACUAAUUAUAGUAUAUAUAACAUACAAGAAGGAAUGUUGUAUUUUGAAUUUAAUUAACAAAUAUAUUUUCUGUCCAUUUUUUCUUCUUCUAGUCAAAUCUAGUAUUCUUUUGUCAUUCAUCUCUUAACGUUUUUAUGUGAGUUCAUAUUUUUUUAUCUUCUAUAUUUUUUCCAAUUAUCAUUCUACAUAACUGCUUUUUUGGUAUCAAACACACAUUGUAAUGUAUCAUGAAUUUUAGUUUAUGAACAGAUGUCUUUUCAAGAGUUACACAAUAGUCUUAUAUCCAAGUUAGACAUUUUUGUUAAUAUGGAUAAUCUAGAUAUAUAUCUCUGCUUAGGUCCUAUAUAAUGUCUGAAAAAUUACUUGCCUAUUACCAAUGAUAUCAAUGUCAAAUGAGUUUACCACAUAAUAACAUCAAAUGUGGACCGACACAUUGCUCUCAUUAUUGUUCACUUUGUUGUCUGCUUUGCUAUUACUUUAGAUUUUAGAGCUUCCAAUUCAUUGCCAAUAGGCAUCCAUGCAUAUGGGGGCCGUUUCUCUUUUCUUUUUUAAUGUUGAUAUGUCAAAGAUUUUUCCAUUUUUGAAGUAAAAAUCCAUGACAUGUUUUCAAUGAAGGCUUUGUUGAAAAAAUACUUGCAAGCCAUUACCAUUAGAGAAUUUUCAAUAUUGUACUAUUAAAUAAGACAAGCAAGUUUUGAUUGUGGUGUGCAUAUUUGAAGAAUGUUUAUGGUCAGUAUGUGCUUCAUGCUGUUUCAAUGAUGACAAAUGUUUUUGUUUGUUACUAGGUUUGAUGGUGAACAUACAUGCUCUGUAGAUGUUUCUUUAAUAUAUCACAUGCAAACUACUUUUUCAGCUAUCAAGGACCCAAUAAAGAAGAAAAUAAGAAUAUAUAACAACCCUCAGACCAAGCUGAGGCCACUACUUCAACACAAAGACACUCCAUUCAAAUAUAAAAGUUCGUAAAAUCUAUUUAAAAUAGACACCAAAGAAACUUUAUUCUGGCCCUAUUUCAAACAAAAUAAACGUUCAAAAGUAGCGUUUAUAAAGUCAUUAAGAAACAAACAUGUUCUGAACAUGAAACUCAUUUCAAUCAUCAAAACUUAACAAAAAAAGAAAAAUAGUAAAAACGUUAAGUGGAAGCAUUUUGAAAGAGUGUUCCCAUAUGAUGAUCACGAGUCCUUCUUGCCCCACGCCGAUUUACCUCUCGUAUUACCUUUACCUGAAAAGUUAAACAUGGAAAGAGUGAAUAUAAAAUAUACCCAAUAAGAGAUCCACUACUAGUCUCGUUAGGGGUAAAAAUGAUUAAUGUCUUGUUAAGAGGUACCUUGCACCAUAACAGUCUUGUGAUCCUGUAGGACAUACGUCAAUCAGUCUAGUGAUUCUAAAGGAUGCACACAUUAGUCUUGUGAUCCCGAAAGGAUGCACUCAUCAGUCUAGUGAUCCGGUAAGACACUGUUCAAGGUACACAAUCCUAUAGAUAAAGUUAAUAAUUUUCUCCAAUUCAGUCCAAACAGUUCAUGGCAUUCACAUCAAAGUAGAAUUAAAAUUAUCGACAAUACUCCUUUACACAUAGCGAGUAAAAAAUAAACACACUAGUGCAUAACAUAGUCUAUUCAAUAGUGCGAGUCAUCAAUUAACAUAUUCAAAUCUACAUAAUAGUUAAAUCAUCUCAGUUAAGUGUAAUCCAUCAACACCUUCAAAUCUACUUAUAGCAGUCAAGUCCUUUCAGUAAUACAUUCCAACUUCAAUAUAGGUUUCAUUAGUAGAAAAUCCCUUACCUCGAGAUUAACAAAAUUCCUUGGUUGAACUAAGGUUGAGACGAACCAACCUAAAUAUAAACAGAAAAUCAAUAACUUUUGCAAUUAAAUCCAUCAAUUCAUCCAAGUGUGACUUUCUCAAACUUACCCAAGCAAUGGAGACUUAAAACCCACUCCAAUCUCGACGUGAAUUCCAAUAACUCAAAUGCUACUUCUCCAAUAGCAAAAUCAAUAAGAAAAUAAUCUAAAUUUUUAUUCCAAUUUAAUCUAAAUUUAGUUCCUUAAAUAACCCAUGUGAAAACCCAUAAAAAACUCACCAAAGAGUUGGCUUGGCUCACGCGACUCGACUAACAUAGACAGAUCCAUGAGAUCUGGGACACAACACAAAUGUAGUUGCGCAGCUUGGUGAGGAAGAAGGAAGACGCGUUUGUCCAACUGGGAAAGGAAACUCGCGCUCGUGGCUUAGAUUUGAAGAAGACGCUCGAAAGGGAACUCAGAGUUGCAACUAAUCGCUUGAUUCAGAUCUGGACGACGCAACAUGGAGGCUUCAUCUUUGGGUGACUGAUAAGAAGCUUGCGGCGAAAGGAGGAACACCGACUUGACAGAGAGAACACUAGCGCGUAAUAUGAAAGAAGACAGGCUCAGACUCCUCAACGGCUUUCCGUGCGAUGAACAGCGGCUGGACUUCAAAUGACACAGAGAGACGUUGAGAUGGGCGAAUGACGAGAAGCAAAACUGAAGGAUAGUGACGGAGAAGAAGUUGUAGGCGACAGUAGCUAGGACAUUCAAAUCGUGAAGUAGAAUGAGAAAGGAGGGGGCACGUGAACCGAGUGAGGGAAAGGCAAAAUUAAUUAUGAUUGAUAAUAAUAAGUAUAUAUAAUAUCUUAUUAUUAAUAUUAUUAAAAUCUUACUAAAAUAUGACAAUUUGGUUGAGAAAAAUACCUCAAAAUUUAGGGUGUUGCAUUCUUCCCUCCUUAAGAAAUUUUCGUCAUCAAAAGUUCUAAUCCUUGAACAACUAUAGGUAACGAGCUCUCAUAUCAUCUUCUCUCUUCCAUGUAGCCUCUUCCACUCGAUGAUUUUGACACAAAACUUUUACUAAAGCAAUUCAUCUCUGAUGAAGCAUCUUUACCUCUCUAGUCAAAAUUACAACUAGCUGCUUUACAGAGUUCACAUUCUCAUCAAUUUUCAAUGGUUUGUAGUCCACUACGUGAGACAGAUUUGCCACGUAAUUUCUCAACACCACAAGACCAAUUUGCUCUAGAAUAAUCUCAAACGGUCCAACAAAAUGAGGACUCAACUUCCCCUUUUUUUCAAAUCGCAGAACACUUUUCAUAGGUGCCACUUUCAAGAACAUCAUAUCUCCCAUAUCAAAUUCAAGAUCUUUCCACCUCACAUUAGCAUAACUUUUAUGUCUACUCUGUGUUAUUUGCAUACAUGCUUUAAUCUUCUGUAUAGCUUCAUUAGUAGACCCAUCAAUCUUUGCUCACUAACCUCAGCCGAACAAACAGGGGAUCUGCACAUUAUCAUACAGGGCCUUAAAUAGUGUCAUGCUAAUAGUAGCCUAAAAGCUGCUAUUAUAUGCAAAAUAGAGUCCCAAAUCACUAGAAACUGUAAAGCACAAGCUUGUAACAUAUCCUCCAAAAUUUGGUUCAAACACUCAAUUUUAGCAUCAGUCUGUGGGUGAAAGGAUGUACUGAAUCUAACCUCGGGCCCAUGACAAUCUAAAAUCCUUUCUAGAACUUGGAAGUGAAAUGGGCAUCUCUGUCAAAAACAAUCGAUACGAACACUCUAUGCAGUCUCACAAUCUCAUUCAAAUGUAACUAUGCCCACUUACAAGCAGUAUAAGUGGAUUUCUCUAGGAUAAAAUGCGUUGAUUUCGUAAGCCUGUCAACAACAACUCAAAUCAUUGUAUAACCCUUCAAGAUUCUAGGCAAUCAUGUAAUAAAAUCCAUAGACACAUUCCUCCACUUCCACUUUGGCACACUCAAAGGUUACAACAAACCUGCUGGUUUAUGUCUUGAUAUUUUAACCUGUUGGCUGAUAACGUGUAUAAAUACCGACUAUUAUAACUUAUUUUAUUAGAAUAAUGAGGUCAAAACGCAUAAGAAGAUGAACAAAACGCAUAACUUACGUUGCAAAUACAUAAAUAUUUAGAAAUACACUUUACAUAAGCAUUAUGUCUGUUUUACGUGGUUUUCAUGUCUAAAUGCAGGAUGAAUAGAAAGGAAAAAACUAGAAGCAAAUGAGACAUUUCACGCAAGAACUACACGAUGCGAACUCAUUUUGUGAUUAACAUCAUCAGGCGAGGAACUACGUCAUCACAUGAGGAAGGUUCACUCGAGGACAAAGAGUGGAAGUUUGAGAUGAUGUGACUCGCAAUAGACACCUUUCGGCAAGCAGUGCUGACAUGCUCAAAAGAAUAGAAAACUUCCACAUAAAGUUACUUAUAAAAAGAACUCCACCUCUACCAUAUCAAGGGGGCCUACAUGAGCCAUAAGAGGUUAGAAUAGACAAAAAGUGGGACCUGCAUGGGCUAGCAACAUAGAGAGUUGGUGGCAAGCUAAGAAUUAACCUCACCACAAUUUGUACAAUACCCCUUCUUCUUCUCCGAUCAGAUUGUAAUGCGAAAGCUUAGAGUUUGAGAAGAGAAGAGUUCAUUCCUCAUUCUCCCUAACUUGUAAUUCAUUUUCUUCCUCUUUCCAUUUUACCAUUUGUUUUACAUUGUAUUUAGUUAUAUUGCACAUUGGCCGAAGGUCUUCAUUCAUUAACACAAUGUAUCUUUAUACGUUUUUCAAUCCAUCAUUUCUCGACUUCUCAUAUGUUAAUGUGUUAUUAGUAGUUAGGGUGUGAUAAGUCUUCAAUAAGGAGUUUAGCUUAUAAGUCUCAUCGCAUUAGUUGAGCUAUAUCUAUCGCCUGGCUAGUGUCAUUCGUCAACUACCCGAGAGGGAAAGUAGCAAGGAUAAGGCUAAUGUGCACAAGAAGAAGUUCGGUAACAAACUUCACUUUCGCAAGAUAACUUCUAACAUUUGUAUCUCGAAAGGCAAACAAGUGCGGACAUUAGGCGUCAAGAGGUUGUUGUCCUUAAACAAGAAGUUCUAUAAGUAUUAUAAGAGAAAUCUUCUGGAUACAUCUCGCAUAAUCAAGCACAAUCAUUUGCUUUCCAAAAGGUCUAAACACUUCGAGAGAAGGUCGCUUUAAUCAUGGACUGAUUAUGCAAAUUCCAUCCAUCGAAAAUCUCGUAUUGCUUAAUCGCCUAAUAACACGUAGACCUUCCUUCACCUUUCUCUCGCAUACAAGUUAGUUCGCUCAAUCUUCCAUCUUGUCAUAAUUUAUUCCCCUGUACAUGAGUCUCUAGGUGUAAGUAAGUAUUUUAGUUCUUUUUAUAUUAUUUUAACUUAAUUUUCAUAAUGCCUAAACGAUAAGUAAGCCCUAGAAUUAACAUCUGCAAACGAUUCCCUAUGUUUGACCCUGGAUCACCCAGGUAAACAUACUGUUCGCUUGCAAUUGGAUGAGCAGUAGGAAAAUUUGUACUCAACGAGGACUUAGCUAUUAUGCGAUGAAGAGGUACAUAGUGAGCAUCUCACAUGCUAUGAUCAUGACUCGUGACCCAACAUAUAGAAUUAGUCGCACAAUAUAAAAAGUUAUGGUGAGCAUCUAACUCGCGAAGAACCUGCUUCAUGAUGUAUUGCAAUUGCAUUAUAUAUAAAAGCAAAACAAAUAAGCUCUAGUUUGUCCACACGCGACAACAUAAUCGCAAACCAACCAACCACUGGCACACCAGACAUUUGAAGGGAUUAAAGCCUUUGGCAGCAAAAGAUUUUACGAGACCUUAGAUCAAUUUAAUUGGAAACUUAAAAAUAUCGUACAUUGGCAAAAUAAUACAAAACUAAUUUUCUAGGGCCUAUGCAUGCUUUUAAAUUAAAAGAUACAGAAAAUUACAUAAUAGAGUAACUUACUCUCAUUGACGUCGUUGAAUCUACAAAUCAUCGAAUUGGGAACACCAUAAACUUAUCCAAGCAAUGAAGACUCACUCUAAUCUUGAUGUUAAUUGCAAUUACUGAAAUAUUAGUUCUCCAAUAGAACCUUCAAUAAAAAAAGUAUUUAAAUUUUUAUUCCAAUUUAAUCUAAAUUUAGUUCCUUAAAUAACCCAUGUGAAAAUCCAUACAAACUCACAAAUAGUUGGCUUGAAUUAGCUAGAAAGAAUGGUUGGCUCACUCGGCUCGACUAACAUAGACAGAUCGACUCAGAUCUAGGACAACUCGAAUGUGGCUGCACGACUUGGUGAGGAAGAAGGCAGAUGCGUGCGUCUGGUUGGGAAAGGGAACUCACGUGUGUGGCUUAAAUUUGAAGAAGACUCUCCAAAGGGAACUCGAAACUGCAACUGACCGCUUGAUUUAGACCCGGACGAUACGAUGUGGAGGCCAUGUCUUUAGGUGACUGACAGGAAGCUUGUGGUGGACGGAGGAACGCUGGCUUGACAGAGAGAACACCAGCGCGUGAUCUGGAAGAAGACAGGCUCAUACUCCUCGACGGGCUUUGCGUGCAACGAACAACGACUGGGCUUCGAAUGACAUAAAGAGGCAUUGAGACGGGCAAACGAUGAGAAGCAAAACUGGAGGAUAGUGACGGAGAAGAAGCUGUGGGUGGUGACGGCUUAGGCAUCCAAAUCGUGAAGGAGAACGAGGAAGAAGGAAGGGGCAUGCGAACCAAGUAAGGGAAAACACAAUAAUCAUAAUGAUAAUAAUAAUAAUAAUAAUUAAUUAAAAAAUAAAUAAUAAUAAAUAGAUAAAUAUAUAUAUAUAUAUAUAUAUAUAUAAUAUAUAUAUAUAUAAAUAGUGACAAAAGACUAUUAAUGAUAGAAUACAAAAUUUUACUAUAACUUGUAAAUAUUUUAAUUUAUUUUGUUAUUCUUAAAAAUGCCCUUAUAUAUGUUAUCUUAUUAAUAAUAUUAUCAUUUCCUUUUAUUUUCCUUUUCUUUUUCAUUAGAAAACAAAAAAUCUUUACCUUUUCUCCUUAAACUCCAACCAAAGUUUAAUACCAAAAAAUUCUUAAAAUCUUAAUAAAAUAUAAUAAUUUGGUUGAGAAAAAUACCUCAAAUUUUGGGGUGUUACAGUAUAUUUGGAUUAGAGUUGAGCACUCAUAAAGAUAGUCCAUUAUAUUCGUUGUGAGCAUGAUUUGAGCAUUAGUUACUAAAAAGCUUGGUGUGCACUAGAGGUGUAAAUAGGUUGGGUUGGAGAACAUUCUCAACUCAACCCAUAUUUUUUAGUUGGUUGGGUUGGCAACUCGAAUAGCCCAAAUAAUAUUCCAAACCCAACUCAACCAAUCCUAAAAAUAUGGGCUGUGACUUGGCUUGAGUUGUCUGAUUGAGAAAGAGACGAUGAAUGCCAAAGAUUGAGAAGGAGACAGUGAAUGACAAAGAUAAGAGGAUUAGACGAGAGGAAGAGGGUGAGGAGAGAUAAGGCACAACGUGAAGACUAAAGUUUAGAGAAAUGUGGAUGAAACGUGAGUCUGUGAACUACUUAUUUUUCAUUUACUAAAUUAAUAAUAUAAAUAUAAAUAUAUAAACUUAAUUAAAUAAAUAUAUAGGUUUUUUUUUCAAAAAUAGAAAAAAUUGACAAAAUUUACAUUUUAUAGAACAAAACCACUAAAAGACAAAAUUAAUUACACUUGAUUUUUUAAUGAAGUGUAAAUAUUUUGUCAACUUUUCUAUUUUUGACAAUUUCCUAUAUAUAUAUAUAUAUGUAUAUCAUUAAUUCUGGUUGGGUUGUGUUAAAUCAAAAUUUUCAACCCAACAACUAAAAUAAAAAAUGAACUCAUCCCUUAUAAUAUGGGUUGGGUAGUCUGGGUUAUUCGAAUUGUCGAGUUACUCUAUACCUCUAACGUGACAUGAAGCUGUUUUGGAUGAAGUUAGAGGAUCUCCUAAAGACUCAUACAAGAUGUUGCCGGUAUUUUUGCAUACAUGUUGAAUUGGAACAACCCAAGGAUGUUUGUAAUAUAUAACUUUACAAAAACAAUAUAUGUCUAUGAUGUCACAUAUUAUACAUUAUUCUUUGUAUCAAUAUAUCCAUUUUUCAUGUUCAUAGGUUCUAUUACUGAAUACAAGGUUGAUGGUGAAGGUAGAUUCCGCUAUUUUUUUAUGGCAUUAUCUGAUUCAAUUUCAUGUUGACAACAUUGUUGUCCUAUUCUUUUUAUUGAUGGUAUAAGUCUAAAAAAUAAGUAUAGUGGUACUCUUUUAACUGCUUUCGCACUUAAUGCUAAUGACCAGGUUUUUCUUUAGAUUUUUGUGUUGUUGAUUUUGAGAAUGAUUUGUCAUGGAUGUGGUUUUGCAACCAGUUAAAUGGUAGGUGGAAUAAUGAUGUUGUGAUAUAGUAUCUAACAAACAUAAGAGUAUAUGCAAAGUCAUGCAUAGAAGUAGUAUUUUUCUAUGUGUUACGUUGCAUGUGCAUAAUUCAUUUACUAAGGAACCUAAUGUUGAGGUAUAAGAGAAUAGUUGAUAUUGUAUUUCACGCAUGUGACAAAGCUUAUAAUGUAGUAGAUUUUGAACAUGAGAUGCGUCUGUUGGAUUCAAACGAGCAAUGAAGAUGUAUGAGUCUAGCAAACAAUUAUACACACAAUACUAACAAGUAAAAAAUAUUUUUCCAAACUGAAAAUGUCGAAAGCAAAAGUCAAAACAAUAUCAGGUUCUACAAAUCUAGCUAAUUGAAGGAUUUAGAAAAUAAAUAUGAUAAUUUUGCCUAAAGGAGCAAAAUUCACAGUUGAUAACCCAUUGUUCUCUAGUCAACAAAAAAGAAAUCUACUGAGUUUUAAAGAUAUACGUCGCAAUGAUUAUCAUAUUGAGACUAAUAGAAAGAAUGAAAUAGAAUAUGUUUAUAUUAUAUCUUCCGUCUUGAAUGAAAAACGUGUAAACUUUAGUUUCAUGAUUACACAAUAAAAUUCUAGCGUUGUAUAUAACAAUAAGUGUUAAGAUCUUUAAACUAAAUGAUUUUACAAAUUAAAUUUAGUUAAAUAAUAACAUACCUUGAUUCAUGAAUAAUCUUCUUGAGGAAUUGUGUUUCUCUCACUUGACCUUCUUUAGAACUUAAUUAGAUUUCUUGAUGGGGGAAGAAUGAACUAUUUAAUAAGGCAGUGGGAGGAUCAAUCCCUAAGGUUCUAUUUAUAGAUAUCAUCUAUUCAUGGUUUUUAAUUAAAACAUUAUCUUUUUACCUAAUGAAUCUAAUAAAAUAAUAGAUUUAAAAGUGAUAAAAUAACAUAUAAUGCAUGUGGGCUACAUUAAUAAUAAUAUUAUAUUUAAAAUAAAUCUAACAUUCUCCCACUUGGCUCAUUGACAUUAUUUACCAUAUACGUUCAUAGACAUAAUGUACAAAAUUAGACUUCAUAACAUAUCAUGUCAAGUCAAAGAAACUGCUAAAUAAUCAUGCAUGACAGUCAUACAUCAUUGCAUUAACAUACCCCAUUUCAUGUAUCACUGAAAUAGUUCUUUUAUUAACAUGAUCUAUAAUAAAGAUAAUCAAUAAUGAUCCAACAAUAAGUGUUUUUAUCAAAGACAAUGUCCUGUUUGGUUUACAUAAUUCAUUUAUGUAUAUACCAAUCAUAAGAGCAAAACCGUAAGAUAAAAUCAGAAAUAAUAAAUAAAUGAGCUCAAAGUCAAAGAAACUGUUAAAGAAUCAUGCAUGGCAGUCAUACAUCAUUUCAUUAACAUACCCCUUUCAUGUAUCACUAAAAUAGUUCUUUUAUUAACAUAAUAUACAAUAAAGAUCAUCAAUAAUGGUCCAACAAUAAGUGUAUUUAUCAAAGAUAAUGUACUGGUUGGCUUACAUAAUUCAUUUAUGUAUAUACUAAUCAUAAGAGCAAAACCAUAAGAUAAAAUUAGAAACAAUUAAUAAAUGAGCUCAAAGUGUCAAAUAACAUAAUAUUGAUUUCAAUAAUGAUAUCUACCAAUGCCCAUACGUUCAACAUGAUCAUUGAAUGUCUUUGGUGGGAAUGCUUUAGUCAGUGAAUCCACAAUCAUAAGUUUAGUGCUAAUGUGUUCGACUGACACCGUUUUUUCUUAACUUUUUCUUGAACAACAAAAUAUUUUAAUUUUAUAUGUUUAGCAUCUUUAGAAUAACUGUCGUAUUUUUAUAAGAAAAUUGUUGCAUAAUUAUCACAAUAAAUUCUUAGUGGCUUGACAAUACUAUCGAUAAUUCCAAGUCUUGAGAUAAAGUUCCACAGUCAUAAACCAUGAACUAUAGCCUCAAAACAUGCUACAAAUUUAGCUUCCAUAGUGGAUGCAGCGAUAAUAGACUACUUUGCAUUUUUUCAUGAAAUUGCCCCAUCAGCUAAUAGGAACAAAUAGCCAAAAUUAGAUUUUCAUGUAUCCACACAUCUAGAAAAAUCUGAAUCUGAAUGUGCAGUCACCUCAAGAUGAUCAGAUCUCUUGUAAGUAAGAAUAUAAUCAUUUGUUUCUUGCAGAUACCUUAAAACUCAAUCCUCUCCAUCUCCACCGGCCUGGUGGUUGCGGUUACGGUUGCUGUUAGUGGUGACAUUAUCCAUUUUGAAAAGAAAAACAAAAUUUUGAAUUUCAGCUUUUCGGACAUGACUCUGCUCAACGCUUCAUCUCCAAUGAAAAGAUGAGAAGGCAGAGAGCUUCGUCGAAGAAUGGCCACUAUUGCUAUUGAUUUCAAAUUUGGGAAGAGGAAAAGUGGCACGAGGAAGAGAAAUGGAUAAAAGAGGAAAGCACGCGUGAGGAUUGAGGAAGAAUGAAAGAGACAGGGACCCUUAGGUUUAACCUAAUUAUUUCUAAUUUUUAUUAAAUAAAUAAUAAACUACAUAAUAUACAUAUAUUUAUAUAUUAUAUUAACUCGAGUUGAAUUGGGUUGAACCGAAUGUUUUAACUCUCAACUUGAGACCCAACCCAACACAAAAAAUUAAAAAUUUUCAACUCAACCCAAUCCAUAUUUUCACCUAACCUAACCCGACCCAUAUACUAUGGGUUGGGUAGUCUAGGUUGUCGGGUUUACCAGAAUUAUUCUUACACCCCUAGUAUAACCUUUGCCAACAAGUCUAGUCUUGGAUCAUUCGAUAUUGCCAUUUGAGUCACGUUUGGUUUUAGAGACUCAUUUACAAUCAUCUCUUUUACUUCCUUUAGGCAAUUCUACGAGAACCUAGGCUUCAUUAUCAUUCAUAGAUUUUAACUCUUCUUUCAUGGGAUCUAUCAUUUUCAAUACUUAGGUCAAAUUCUGACUCAUGUAAAGAAACCACAUAGUCAUCAUAAAUAAUUGAUCUUCUUGGUCUUACAAAUCUUCUUAAAUCUAUUUCUUGUGGUCCCUCAAUUACAGAUUUAUUUGUUAUAACAUCAUUAUGUGGUGUUUGACCAUUAGUUUAUUUUUCUGGUGGAUUGUUAACAAAGUCAACAACUACAGGAACAACAACUUGAAAAGAAGCACUAGAAGAAAUUUAGCCUUUAAUGUUGGUUGGCAACCAACAUCUUUGCUAAUGUUAUUAAAGGCCUUUAAUGUCAGGUUAGCAUUUAUGUCGGUUUAAAAAUAACAUUAAAAGUUUCUUUAAUGUCAAUUUUAAACCAACAUCUUGAUAGUGUUAUUGAAGCUCUUUAAUGUCAGUUGGCUUUGAUAUCGGUUUAAACACAUUAAAGAGGCCAAUAAUGUCGAUUUAAAACCUUGUUUUUAGGUACAUUUUUACAAAUUUAUUUUUAUUUAAUUGUUGCAUCAUUGUCUAUUUUUUAUAAACCGACAUUGGGUCCGUGUAGAUAAAUGUUUUUUUCUCACGCCAACAAAUCAAUAAAAUUAAUAUUAUUUUAGAAACUAUAAUAUUUGUCUUUUACAUUUGGAUACACAAAAUGAAAUCUUAAUAUGGUGUUUAUAUAUACAUUCUACAACAGUACAUGAAAAAAUAUCCUAAUACAAGACUUAAAUAGAAAUCCUAAAAACGUCUUUACAGUCUUCAACCUUUAACGAUUUCUUAGCUUUCUACCUGGUCACUUGACUUUUACAUGAUUUCUUAGGGAUUCCAAGCUCGAUCUCGCAUAGUUCUUCUCAUGCCAUCAUGAAUUAGUGUUGCUUCAAAUUGUUUUUUAUAAAAUAUGAAUAACUCUCGUAGUACUAUUAGAAAUUUAGAAUAAAAACAAGGAGGCAACAUGAAAAGAGAACUAACUUCCAAUAUCUCUCAUUGACGUCGUGUAUAUGGAUGCAAUGGAGUUCGAGAAGGCUGCAUUGGAGUUUCACUUCCCAUACCAUGUCUAGAUGCAUCAAUGCUACGUAACAAACAUUAUAGAACCUUGAAAUAACAAACAAACAAAAACAUAUUAGUUAUGUAUUAUAUCUUAUACUUACCGAUGGGCACUACAAGAAAACAGGUCUAUGACGACAAUUAUUUUCUAUCGGGAAUAAAAUCUGUGACAGUUAUAUACAGGCAUGGAAAGUCAUUCCAUGAUAGUUUUCGAAAACUGUCGCAAUAAGUUUUUUCAUGAAAGAAAAUAAAUGUUGUUACUAUUUUAUGACAACAAAUAACUGUCAUAUUUUGUAUUAUGACAACAAAUAACUGUCAUAUUUUGUAUUAUGACAACAAAUAACUGUCAUCAUUUGCGUAUUAACGACAGUUUAAAAAUAUCGCAAAUUCGUUUAUUAUGACAUUUUUUAAAUGUCUAGGAUAUGUAAAUCGUGAUAGUUUUUUUAGAAAUUAAAUGUCAUUGUUUUGCUAUUGACGACAUUUUUUUCCUAUCAAAUAUAGGGCAAUUGUGACAAUUUUUCUUCUAAAAAAAUGUCAUUGUUUUAAUAUUGACGACAAUUAUGGAGUGUAACGAAUUCAUUAAUUAUGACAUUUAUUUCCUAUUGCAAAUUCUUCAAUUACUAUCUUUUUUUUCCUGUUCACGUUGUCGCUCUGCCAUUACACGAACCAUUUGAACAACAAUAAUGUUAUAAUACAUAACACCCAUAUAGAAACAAAUGGUCAACACUUUAAUAUAUAUACACUAUAAUACACUUUGUAAUAUUCGUAUAUUUCCAAUCAAAUUUGAACAAUUUACAAGUAUGAAAUUACAGCCCUUAAUCAAAACUAGUGUAAAUACCAUCAUAAUACAUAUAACUAACCGUUAAUUCUUCACCUUUGAAAAUAUUCUUUGUUGCUUGAAACAUGGUCGAAUCCUUCAUUUCUAAAAAAUCCAAAAAGUGUUAUAUCAAUCAAUUGUUCCAAGUACAUACCAAAAGAUUGACAAUGACCAAUUGGUCUAAAGUUUAACAAUGGGGGGUCUCAAACAUCAAAAUCAACAGCUUAACAAUUAUACAAUCAAUAUGAACUAUAAGUAGAUAAAAAACAGAAGAAGACAAGAAACAUUAUUACAAGUUGCAACAUGAAGACACUAAAGUCGCAUGGAUAACAACAUCUAAUUUCUCGAUAGGGUCAUUUACGUUACUCCAAAUUCCUAACAAAGAAUGUAACAAUCUAACAACAUGAACAUUUACUGAUGAGAAAAUGAUGCACAAGUCUUCCAUAGAAAUUACCAUUACCUUGAAAACAACUGUCAGCAGCAUCACAAUAUGCUAUUAAUACAGCCUCAAGUACUUCUAAACUGAAGCACAAUUUCAUAUUUCUAUAUUAGUACUCAAGGUAAAGACAGUUGAAGAGGAGAAAAAAGAAUGAAAGAAUGUGAAAAACAAGUAUGCAACAAGAAAUUCUAUUUAUUCUUUUCUUUUUUCUUUAAAAAUAUAAAAGUAAAAAAAGGUGUAGUAAAACCUUUGCUUUAGUCUAAGUCCUUGUUUGAGAAUUGAGAUGCUUUUACUUGAAACGUUUAUAACGACGAAUGUUCAAAUAUUGAACGUCACUUAAACUUUGGUUUCAAAUUAUUUUAUAACAAAUUAGACAACAAGAAUAUGUUAAAUUUUCUUUUCAAAUCAAUAGAAUGAUGAUGGAAACGAUAGACAUGCGCAGCGAAAUUAGGAUCAAAUUUUUACUCUAAUUGCAACUAAACUAGUUUAGUGAUUAACAUUGAUAAAAAAAAAACCCUAAAAUUAUAACAAAGAUAGGAUUCAAAGAAAAACCUCACCUUUGAUGCUUUUCCUUUUUUUGUAAUCUCCUCACGUGCUUUUCACGAUCUCCUCACGAAAUUGAAGUCAGGACUACCACUAGUGUUGACCUGCUAUUCUCCUAACUUAGAAUCAGUUGUGGGACUCAAAAAUGGUGGAGGAAAUAGAGAGAGAUGAGAUUCUUUGGAGGAACCUAACCUUUAGGUUUUACUUUUUUUGUUUUGAUGUUCCAAAACUAAAACUCAAAUGAAAAGAGUUCUUAGUUUUAUUUUGUAAUUCUCAAUUACAAAAUUAAUUUUCAAUUUCAAAUUCAAGAGUCAUUUCACCUUUUCAUAAAACUUGUUUACAGGUAAACUACAUGCAAGAGCUUCCUUAUCUCACCACUUGACAUUCUUAGUGUGAUAGGUGUCUUGUAUGCAAUAAGCCACUUAAUACAACAUGCAAGUGAUAAGCUUGUCAAAUCUCAACAAGUGUUAUUAUUUAAAUUAGUCUAAGGGCAAUAUGGUAAUUCAACAUUUAAAUCAAAUUCAAAGUUUGACUUUUUUCACUCCAAAGUCCACAUUUUGACUUUUAACCAUUUUGUUCGUCUUGACUAAUUUCAACCUCCCAAGCAUGAAUCCGUAUUUAUUUUUCCAAAAUUUAAAUCACAUUUGAAUAUAAAUUCGAUCAAAGUUUGAUUUUUCAAAGGUAAAAGUCAACAUUUUGAUUUUUUACUUCUUUGACAUUUUUCAUCAAUUCCGAUCUUCCAAAUAUGAAUCCAUAUUCAUAUUUAAAUCACAUUUAAACAUGAAGCUCUAUCUUAAGUUAUAACCGAUGACUAUAUCAGAUAUAUUUGUCAGUUUAUAUCUCUUUACCUAAUUCAAACAAUUCGGAUUAUUCCAUCAUAAUGUUAUAAGUUUAUUCCUUAUGACCUAGCGUGGGAACCUAAUGGACCUAUAGAUCAUGGGAUCGAACGAUCUGAGAUUAACUGGCUAAACUCUUUAAACCGAGUUAAUCAACCUUCAUUAACUAACAGUUCAUUCCACUAAAGGCUCGUUAUUGAACUCCUCUCACUAUAGAUAUAUUUGUGUCCAUGUGAUAUGACCAUGAUAAGUAAGUUAAUUCUUUACAGGUUGUUCACAAUCUCGGUUGGGUCAAAGUACCGUUUGACCUCCGACAUUAUAUAUUUUCUCCUUAAGUCCCACUGAUCCACUAUUGAAUAAUUGGUUUAAGGUCCAAUCUUUAAAUCGAAUCCCUCUCGGACCAAUGAGAGGGUGGGGCCCCUUGUUCAAGACCUAGAUUCAGUCCUUAAGGGAACAACCUAUCUACUAACCCUAGAGUGAAUAGGAGUGAAUUUCGUCUUGCACCCUAUGUCCCUAGCUAUCCACCUAAUCUUACUUCUUAAAUGGGAGGCUUAUUGGGCCAGAGUCAUUGAGCUGCUCUCACUUAUGCAGAUCUAACGAUAAUUUCGUGUGAACAAAAGUUCAUAGUUAGCUCAGGAUUAAGAUUAAAUUACAUUGGAUAUCUAUAAAUGAAAUAGUCAAUUUUACAAAGUUGGCGGUGUUAUAACUUGAAAGCGACUAUCUCAUGGUUCUAGUCUUAUGUAAACUCUUUACAUAGGAUACCCUCACUUCCAUGUCUCUACAUGAACGAUUUAAGAUCACAUCAUUUGUAAUAACUACAAAGUAGGCCGCAUCAAUAGUAUCUUCGGAAUAAGACGCCCAACCUUAUCCAUAUACUAUAGACCAUUUUUAGGCUAUGACUCAAACUUGAUCCACUUUUAUGUCUGUACAUAAAGUUCAAGUCUACAUAAUAGUCUCAGAACAUUAGUUUUUUGGCUUUUAGAUUAUAGUAUCAAUAAGACGAUUUUAUUGAACAUAAUUUUGAAUACAAACUAUGAGUUUUAGGACAUAAAUUCCAACAAACUCCCACUUGGACUAAAACUCCUAGUGAAAUCAAACAAUGUUGAAUUUAAUCAGGAGAGACCAAUAUACAUAUGAGUACAAUAAAAAUAUGAAUAUUUUAAACUAGGGCACAAGCCCAAUAAGUCUUCCACUUGUCCUAGUUUACAAACUUCAUAAACCUAAAACUCUUUUAGGGGAUCUUCAUACACUUUAGCCAUGAAGGACUUUGUAAACCAAAGUAGUCAUAAUAUGCUCAACAAGUAUCAGGGUUACUACAACGUACUACUACGAUGUACAAUCACCCAGAUAAGGUAGUACAAUUUUACUUUACGCUUCUUAACACUACUGCUCUUCCAUUUAGAAUGAAUAUUGAUUUCGAUGUAGACUUUCUAGCAGCUUUAGAAAUUAGUAUCAUCUAGUAAAGAUCAAAUCCUUAGCACUAUAAAUAAGCACAUAGUCUUUUGUUGUUUAAGUUGUUUUAGAAUAUUCUUAACCGCACUAUCCAGUGAUCACGUCCAUAAUUGGACUGAUACCUACUGACCAUCCCUACUGAGUAGCAAAUGUCAGGUCCAGUACAGAACAUUGCGUCCAUCAAAACUCCUAACAAAGGAAGCAUAUGGAAUAUUUCUCAUAUCCUCAACUUCUUGAGGUGUCUUAGAAAAUUCUACCUAUAAACAGACAAAUGAAUUCCAUGUUUGUACGACAACAAACCCUUUUUGGAAUUCUGCAUCUUAUAUCUAGACAUAAUUUCGUCUUUAUAAGAUACUUGAGACAUGCUAGUGUUCUGUUCUUGUAGAUCCAAACAAUUUGGAUUUUGAGAAUAGAUUGCGCAUUUCCAAAUUUUAAAAUUGCUUAGCUAGCCAUUUCUUAAGGUUAGAUAAAUAAUCUACAUCAUUCAUUGUUCCUUUUUGCAAGUCAAUGGAUCCUCUAAACCACCAUCAACUAUGACGAUUUGAUUUACGAUAAAACCAAGUAAUGCUCAGAUUAAUGAACAACCCUCCCACUACAUCGAGGCUCUCUCAACUCUUGAGAAGGAUGUGAUUGACCAGAUUUUCAAGUUUUAUGAACUACUUUAGUUGAUGAACUAGGUAUAUCGGUUAACCUCUUUGGAAAUUCUAUUCAAUAUUAAUUUACUACGUGGUUUGAUGAUUACUGAUGAGGUUUUCCUCAAGAAUGUGAGAUUUGUCUAAGGAUAAUUUCGUUUGAAUAGAAGUUCAUAGUUUACUCAAGAUUAAGAUUAGUUACAUUGGAUAUCUAUAAACAAAAUAGUAAGUUUUACAAAGUUAACGAUGUUUUAACUUAAAAGCAACUAUCUCAUGGUUCCAGUCUUAUGUAAACUGUUUACAUAGUAUGCCCCUAGUUCCAUGUCUCUACAUGAACGAUUUAGGAUCACAUCGUUUGUACUAACUACAAAGUAGGUCGCAUCAAUAGUAUCUCCCAAAUAAGGCGCCCAACCUUAUCCAUAUACUAUAGAGCAUUUAGGCUAUGACUCAAACUUGAUCCACUUUUAUGUUUCUACAUAAAGUUCAAAUUUCCAUAAUAGCCUUGGAACAUUAGUUUAUUGGCUUUCAGAUUAUAGUAUCAAUAAGACGAUUUUAAUGAACAAAAUUUUGAAUACAAACUACGAGUUUUAGGACAUAAAUUCCAAUAAAUGAGGGUUUAAGAUUUAUCAAACUAUUGAAAAUAAAAGAUUUACCAAACUUUGACGAGUGUGUGAAGGGAUAACGUCGACAACAAUAGGGAGAAGACAAAGUUGGGAACGGGCAGAGGAGCUACUAUGGUGAGAUGAGGAGUUAAAGACAUGGAGGGAAAAUCGUAGGGGAGGCGGCUGUGUACAACAAUUGUGGUAGAAAAGGUGAAAUCGUGGGUUGUGUAUGCGGUUGUGGGAGAAGGAAGAGAAAUCAUGUGGGGAGGGGGGUGGGAAUUGGAAAAAUUAAAAUUAGGGUUUUUUUAAGAAAACAACUUUAUGCUGAUAUUUUUUGUGUCAGCAUUUAUAUAAAUAUUUUAUUGACAAAAAUAUGUAAAACAGUAUAUGGGUUUUUUGGUUUUGAAACUUAUACCGACAUUUUUUUUAGUCAUCAUAUAUGUAUAUAUUUUGCGUCGGCAUAAACAUGUAAAAAAAUGUACGAAUUUUUCAUUUUUAAAACUUGUGCCGACAUUUUUUUCGUUGCCAUUUGUAUAAAUCUUGCAUCGACAUGAAUAUGUAUGAAAAUGUAUCGAUUUUUCUUUUUUAAAACUUAAGCUGACAUUGUUUGCGUCGUCAUAUGUUCAAAUCUUGUGUUGGCAUAAAUAUGUAUAUAAAAUGUAUGGAUUUCUAAAAUUUUACCGACGAAUUAGAUUUUCGUCGGGAUAAACACGUUUUUGGCCGCGUAAAAUGAUGCAUCGAGAUUAAAAGUGUUGGAAUUGUCAAAAAAAUUUGUAGUGCAAGAAUAUCGAAGAAAGAUAAAAAAAAUUGAGGAUAAUAAUGAGAUUUCAAUAAACUAUGUCAUAAUAGGAAAAAAUGGAACUGAACUAAUGUAGUUGUUGGUAACAUUUUUGCGUAUAAUGUUGUUCUUAAUAUUAUAUUUGAAAAUGAGGAUCUUAAACCAAAAUAUGUUGAAGAAUGUUGAUAGAUAAAAUAUUGGCUUUUAUGGAAAGAAGCAAUUAAGGCAGAAUUAAAUUCACUUUCAAAAUGUAAAGUUUUUGAACCACUAAUUUAAACACCAGAAAGUGUCAAACCUAUGAGAUAUAAAUGAGUACUUAUGAAAAAAGGAAAUAAAAAUAAUGAGAUCAUAAGAUAUAAAGCAAUAUUAGUUGCACAUAGCUUUUCAUAAAAACCUAGUAUUGAUUAUGAGAAGAUAUAUUCUUCGGUGGUGGAUAUAAUCACAGCAUUGGAAUUUUUAAUUGGUCUGACUGCAUGUGUAUAGAAAUCACAACAUAUUUAUAUGGAUCAUUUGAUAAUUAUAUUUAUAUGAAAGUCUCAGAAAAAUUUAAGAUACCUAAAACAUAUAAAUCAAGUUCCAAUGAACUAUAUUCAGUAAAGUUACAGAUAUCACUAUAUAGAUUAAAACAAUCUGGAAGAAUGUGGUAUAAUCGUCUGAGUGGAUAUUUUUUGAAAGAAUAACAUCAAAAUAAUCGAAUAUGUCUUUGUGUUUUUAUAAAGAAAUCACACUAAGGAUUUGCUAUUGCAACUAAAUAUAAUUGGAACUCUUAAAGAGCUUUUGAAAGCAAUAAAAUAUCUUAAGAAAGAAAUCGAGAUAAAAAAUCUCAUAUAAACAAAAAAAUUUCCUUGUUGGCUUGCAAAUUGAGUAUUUAGCGUAUGAGAUAGUUGUUCAUUAGUGAUCAACUUAUACAUUCAAGUUUUUAACAUAUUUUAUAUGAAUAAAACAAAUUCAUUAAAUAUUCCAAUGCAAGUUUGUUCUUUAGAUCUAAAGAAAGAUAUAUUUCGACUUUGAGAUGAUAAUGAAAAAGUUAUUAGUUUAGAAGAAGUACCAUAUCUCAAUGCAAUUGGUGCACUUAUGUAUCUUGUUAAUAAUACAAGACCAUAUAUAUAUAUAUAUUACAUUUUUAUUAUAUUUAUUAGCUAGAUACAAUUAUCUCCAACAAAAGACAUUGGAUGGAAUUAAGUAUGUAUUUCGUUAUCUCUGACGAACAAUUGAUAAGAAUUUAUUUUAUUUAAAUAAAUCAAAUUUUGUUUUAGUUGAUUUUGCAUAUUCUAGAUAUUUAUCUGAUCCACCCAAAACUAGAUCUUCAAACAGAUUAUUUAUUCACAUGUAAAGGAAAUGCUAUAUUAUGACGAUCAAUGAAACAAACAAUGACAGCCACUUUCUCAAAUCAUGUUGAAAUUCUUGCAAUGCACAAAGCAAGUAAAAAAUGUGUAUGGCUAAGAUUAAUAACUUAGCACAUUCAUGGAACAUGUGACUUGCCUUAUAGUAAAAAUCUUCAAUCGAUACUAUACAAAGACAACAUGACCUAUGUAACUCAAAUAAAAAAAAAAUAUUAUAUUAAAGGAGAUAAAACAAAGGAUAUUUCAUCAAAGCUUCUCUAUACUCAUGAUCUUGAAGAAAAUGACAACAUCACAAUACAACAAAUUUGUUUGAAGGAUAACCUGAUGGAUGUACAAUUUGGUUUUAAACAAGAUACCCCAUCAUAAUGCAACAUUGAAUCACUUUUUCACAACAUGGACUUGACAACUAUGGAUUGGUCAAACAAGGUUGCACAUUUGGUAUUGCGCUAGGAGCUUUGAUUUAGCAAUUUGAUAGGGAUGUAACUCAAGAAUACAACCACCGACAUAAUAAUAUUACGAGACUCUACAUCACUCAAUAGAGAUCAGUUGUGGGUCAUUUGGUACAUAUUUAAAUAUUGUGUAGUUUUACUUUAAAUUAUAUACUAAAUUAAAUAUUUUCUAUUUUUUUUUACAGUUCACAGAGAUCAAACAACAGUAGAGUUCAUGAUGUUGCAGAUGAUCUACAACAAGUAUUUUUUAUAUAUAGAUGCAAUAAUAUAUAGAUACAAUAAUAAUGAGAGGUACAUGAAGAAGAUACAUUAUAUGUACGAUGUACCUAUUGUAUACCUCCAUCAGUUCAUAGAAAACGUGUUCAAGUGGAAGAAAUUGAACUUGACAAAGUUUAUCAUAAUGCUAAAGAAAUGUUUCCUAUGACAUAGACAGAGAACUAAACUAGUCAUAGUAGUCUGAUGAUGAUGCCAACAUUUGGUGUAGGAUAUUAUGAUUAUGAGUUCGAUACAUGAUAUUAUGAUUCUUUGGUCCGUCCAUCGUUUUCAGAUGCCGAUUCAUCAACUUCAUGCAUGCAUAUUAUGUAUGGAGUUGUUAUUAUAUCGAAUGCACGAUUUUAGGAAAAGAUAAAAUUAUAAAUUGAAAUUUUGGAGAUAUUUCAACUAAACAUUCAAAUUCAAAUAAUAAAAUAAAUAUUCAUGAACAUUGAAUUAUAAAUAUGAAAUUGUAUAUUAUGUAUGAUAUAAUAAAAGGUUACUAAAUGUUAACCAAACCUUGUGAAAGGUACAAUGACUACAUUAUAUUAUCGAUCAUUAUAUGGAUAGAAAAAAUAAUAAAAAUUAAAUAGCUAUUAGUAUAUAUAUUAUGAAUUAUAUAAAUAAAUUUUUAAAUAGUUGAUUUGAAACCUACAAACUCAAAAAUCUGGUAUAAAACGUUAUUAAAAAUUAACUAAAUCACUAUAUGAAUUUUUUUGUAUUUGCAUGAUAUAAUAAAAUGUUACUAAGAAUUAACCAAACCUUAUUGGAUGUAUAAUGAAGGAAUUAUAUUAUCAAUCAUUUUAUGGAUAGUAAAAAGAGUGUGAAUUAAAUAGUUAUUAUUAUAUAUAUUAAUAAAAAUAAAUUGCUAAACAUUGAUUUAAAGCCUAUAAAUUCAAAAAUCUGGUAUAAAUUGAGGACAUAAAUCUAGAAGAUGUUGAUUAAAUGAGAUCAAUCUUGAAAAUAAAUAUUUAUUUAAUAUUUUUAUAAAACUAAAUAUAUGCAAAUACACUGUAUUCGUAAAUAUGUGUUAUAUUUCAUUAUUUUACCAUGCACAAAUACACUGUAUCUGAAAAAAAUGAGUUUCAGUCUAUGAAUGGGUAAAAUCGAUAGAAAAAUGAGUUUUAUUCCAUGAAGAGAUAAAAUCGAUUGAAAAAUUGUAAGAAAUGUAUCUAGUUCAGACACUUUUGCUAAUAAUUAAAUUAUUUUUUAGAUUUACUAUUUUUCAAAUUGUACUUCAUUAUUUUAUCAUUCUCACGGUUAUCUCUAAAUGAGUUGAGCUGAGAGACAUUCUCAACCCAACUCAUAUUUUCGGGUUGGAUGGUUUGCCAACCCGAAUUAAAUUUCCAACCUAACCCGUAAAAUAUAGGUUGAGUUGUUAGGAUGUAUAAACUCUAAACUAUACGUGCUAACUAAUAAAAAUAAACUAAAAGAGAAUAUCUGAAAAGCUAUAAACUCUAAACUAUAUUUGUUGACUAAUAAAAAAAACGUUCACAUUUCACAUAAAAAAAUAUAAUAAAACCAUGUAUGAUAUAAAACAUUAUGUUGAAAGUAAAACACAAUACAAGCUAAUUGGCUCUAUAAGAACCAAAACAUAACAAAGUACAACUACAACCAUCAAGCAAAAGGUUGAAUCCCUACUAUAAGUUGUCUUCGAGAACACUACAAUAAGACUUCAGGCUUUUGCUGUUCGCCUAAAGCCGUAACUUUGUUUUGGAAUCACACUACUACCGUGCUAAUCCAAAUAUAGAUUUAGAGGAUUCAAAUCCUCUUUUUUUUUUUGUCUCCUUGUUCGAAAAGGAAAAAGACGAAGAAGACAAGGAGACAAAGAACGAAGAAGAGAUUUGAGAAGAGGGAGCCAGAGAAGAUGAAGGAGUGCGUUGCGACUGCAAACAUAGAAGACAAGGAACGAAGGAAAUGAAGAAGAUGUGGAGAAGACAAGGACGAAAAAAAUGAGGAGAACAAAGAACGAAGAAGUCGGGGAUUGAGGAAAGCGGUGCAUGUGCAUUGUUUUAAAACUUAACCUAUUCCUCUAUAUUUUAUUAAAAAGUUAAAAAUAUAUAUAUAAUAUAAAUAUAAUCUAUAUAUUAUUAAUUUGGGUUGAAUUGGGUUAAACCAAAAUUUUCAAUUAACAUGGGGAGGGUUGAUUUAAUUUAAUUAAUUAAAAUUAAUUGUUUAGUUAGAUUAAUUAAGGAUUUUCAACGCAAGAUCAUUGUUAAAAUAUAUAUAUAGAAAAUCGAUAAUUUGUUUGGAUAGAGUACGAAUCAAAAAGAUAAAAUAAAAAAUGAUAAAAAGGUCGGGUUGAAGAGGGAGAAAAAGAAAUGUAGUCUAAAUCUCUAAAUAAACUUAUUCGUAGAAAUACAAUUAAAAAAUAAGUUAAAAGAGAUCAAGAAACCAAAUUGAGAAGAUGAUGAGGAAGAAAUUGGCAGGAUUUCCACGCGCAAUUCGAGAUUAGGGUUUCUUCCUAUUUUCUUCUGCAGUUCUUCCCUAAUUGGGGCUUUCAUCUCUGACUUUUAACUUCUCUUCCUUACUUUGAAAUUUGUUUCCUUAGUGCUUUGAUCCACUUUCUCAUGCUGCCUGCCUUCUAUUUCUGAAUUUGAAUGAAUAUUUAGAGCAGGUCGUUGAAGAAGGCAUAUAUGGACGAAGGAGAGGGUGGGUUCGGUGAGGGUGUGGAUCAGAUUGAUCAGUUCCAUCGGAACGAGGCCAUUUCGGCCGUUGCUGAUGAUGGUUUCUUGGGCGAAGAUGAGGAUGAAUACGAGGACCUGUAUAACGAUGUUAAUGUUGGGGAGGGGUUCCUUCAGUCGUUGAGGAAGAGCGAUGAUUUGGGAUUCAAGAGGGAGGAGGAACCCAAGAUGGAGCCUCCUGCACCUGUACCACCCAGUUCCGGUGCUUCCAUACCUGGUAUUGGUGGAGGUGCGACUGAAGUUACUGGUUUAGGAGAUGCCGGUGGGCGUACUGUUUCGGAGAGAGUAACAGAGGGUUACAAUCAGAUUCCAGAUUUAAGAACGAAUGAGAUGGCUAUCAGAGGUGGGGUGGGAUCGGGGCCGCCUGUAGGCACCGGAGUUGGGAUCAGAGUUGAAUUAGGGCAAGGGAGCAAAGCCAUCGAGUUGGAGGAGCGAAGUAGUAAUAACGUAGCUGGGCAUCAGGCUCCGCAACAGCAACAGCAACAGCAACAGCAACAGCAACAGCAACAGCAACAGCAACAGCAACAGCAACAGCCACAGCCACAGCCGCAGCCGCAGCCACAGCCACAGCCGCAGCACCAUCACCAACCACCUCAGAGCGGAGUCUUAGGAAAUCCUGGGAGUGUAGAAAAUGAAGGUUUGCUAAGGCAAGGUGGUGGAGUUAAUGUCAAUGGGGUUGGUGGAAACGGGUUCGCUAAUAUCGGGAGUGCAGGGGGAGGUGGCGGUGGAACAAUUUUGUUUGUUGGGGAUUUACAUUGGUGGACUACAGAUGCGGAGCUUGAGGUGGAACUCUGUAAGUAUGGUCCGUUGAAGGAGGUCAAGUUUUAUGACGAGAAAGCCAGUGGAAAAUCAAAAGGCUACUGCCAGGUUGAGUUUUAUGAUUCUUCUGCUGCCACAGCUUGCAAGGAGGGAAUGAAUGGGCAUAUUUUUAAUGGACGUCCCUGUGUAGUUGCAUAUGCAUCACCGUUUAGUGUUAAGAAAAUGGGAGAAGCCCAAGUUAGCAGGAACCAACAGAUAGCCCAAGCUACUAAUCCUCAAGCAAGGAGAGCGCCUAAUGAGGCUGUAGGUAAAAUUGGUGGAAAUAGUAUUGCAACGGGUGGUAACUAUCAAGGUGGUGAUAACAAUAGAGGUUCUGGGAGAGGUAACUGGGGAAGGAGUAAUGCUCAUGGAAUGGGUGGUCGAGGACCAGCUGGCCCAAUGAGGGGUAGGGGUGGUGGGAUGGGUGGCAGAGGUAUAAUGGGAAAUGGUGGAAAUGGAUUUGGCCAAGGAAUUGGUGCUACCCCUCCUUUAUUGCAUCCCCAGUCAAUGAUGGGUCAAGGUUUUGAUCCAUCUUUUGGUGCACCCAUGGGAAGAAUGGGUACAUAUGGUGGUUUUCCUGGAGCCCCAGCUCCCCCUUUCUCUGGAAUUUUGUCAUCCUUUCCUCCUGUCGGGGGUGUUGGCCUUCCUGGUGUAGCUCCUCAUGUGAACCCAGCAUUUUUUGGAAGAGGUAUGCCUAUGAAUGGAAUGGGGAUGAUGCCAACAUCGGGUGUUGAUGGGCCUAAUAUGGGAAUGUGGUCUGAUCCUAGUAUGGGUGGAUGGGGCAGUGAAGAGCAAGGUGGAGGGAGAGCAGGUGAGUCUAGUUAUGGAGAAGAAGCUGGUUCUGACCAGCAUUAUGGUGAAGGCAGUCAUGAAAGAGGGCCAUGGGCAAAUUCUGCGAAGGAGAAAGAUAGAGGCUCUGAAAGGGACUGGUCACAGUCUUCUGAUAGAAGGUAUCGAGAUGAUAGAGAUGUCGGUUAUGAUAGAGAGAGAUCCAAAGAAAAAGAUCCGGGACCUGACCAUGACUGGCCAGAUAGAAGGCCUCGUGAAGAUAGAGAUAUAGGGCGUGAAAGGGAUAAAGAGAGGGAUCGAGAUAGGGAUAGAGAACGAUCCCGAGAUUAUGAGCGUGGCCAUCAUGAACGUGAUCGUGAACGUGAAAGGGAU
rnacentral:lncRNA from 1 species